rnacentral:rRNA from 1 species
UACGGAGGGUGCAAGCGUUAAUCGGAAUUACUGGGCUUAAAGCGCACGCAGGCGGUCUGUUAAGUCAGAUGUGAAAUCCCCGGGCUUAACCUGGGAACUGCAUUUGAAACUGGCAGGCUUGAGUCUUGUAGAGGGGGGUAGAAUUCCAGGUGUAGCGGUGAAAUGCGUAGAGAUCUGGAGGAAUACCGGUGGCGAAGGCGGCCCCCUGGACAAAGACUGACGCUCAGGUGCGAAAGCGUGGGGAGCAAACAGG